rnacentral:piRNA from 1 species
GUUGCUUCUUUGAUUGGUCUGUAAG